GACGAACGCUGGCGGCGUGCUUAACACAUGCAAGUCGAACGGAAAGGCCCUGCUUUUGUGGGGUGCUCGAGUGGCGAACGGGGGAGUAACACGUGAGUAACCUGCCCUUGACUGUGGGAUAACUUCAGGAAACUGGGGCUAAUACCGGAUAUGAUCUCCUGCUGCAUGGGGGGGGUUGGAAAAUUUCGGCGGUUUGGGAUGGACUCGCGGCUUACCAGCUGGUUGGUGGGGUAGUGGCUUACAAAGGCUUUGACGGGUAGCCCGCCUGGGAGGGUGACCGGGGUCAAGGGUCCUACGGGAGGGAGCAGACGGCAACGUUACGCAAUGGGGGGGAACAUUGCGGAGCGGGGCGACGCCUGAUGCAGCGACGUCGCGAUCGUAAUGCCGUGUUACUGGUUGUAAACCGAUUUCGCAGUUGACGAAGCGUGAUUGACGGUGACGGGUAAAGAAGCACCGGCUAACUACGUG
rnacentral:rRNA from 1 species